CAUCCCCAUGAGACUUGUUUAUGUACUUGAUUGAUUUUGAUAAUUCUUGGUGCCUUCUGCAGGGGCAAGCCCUUUGCAUCGAGCGCGUGGAAGGCCAGGAUGUCUGCUACCUAAGUUGCUCUUGCAGUGUCCUGACAGAUGCUGAAGCCUAUGAAGGAGGCUGGAAAUGGCAGGGAAGCCACAGUAAGUAUAGUGAGUCAUGCCACUCUAAUUGUGAGCCCUCAGUAGAAUCCUAAAUAAAUAUAACUCGCAUACUUUGCACACUAAUCACCUUUAGUAGUGAUACAACUCAUGGAUAAUUUUAGAACCUUUUUCUAGGGCAUGUUGCAAGUACCUGGGCACAGUAGAGCCAGCGUUACCUGGCUAUAUGCCUUGCCCUGUUCGGAAGACAGCCUGUGCUGGCGGCUAACAAAGGAGCCGAUGUCUCUUGGCCUUUUCUAUGGGUCCUUGCCCAGGGCUACCUGUUACUGGUAUUUGAGUAAUUCCAAACUGUGCACGAUAGCAGGGUUUUUCCUGAACGGUCUCAAAAAUUGACUCAUUCCCUCCCUUUCUCUUAGUUAUCCUAGAAAAUUGGGAUGGAUGGGCAGACAUGGGAAAUACGGUCCUUGUUUUCUCCUUACAGAUAGUCCUGAAACUGUCGUACUGUCACUAAAAUAGCUGCGUGGUCACUUUUAUCUAGAGGACAGGAGCAUCUAAGGUUAAGAGUUAAGCUAAAACUGUACAAAAGUUGCUGGUAUUUCUUUCUAUGGUGCUAAAAUGAUUAUGAGAAAAAUAAUGUAUUUUAUUUUUAAGGAAGCACACGUUAAUAUGGGCAUCUCGGAUUGCAUUUUCUCCUCUCGUAUUGUAUUCUAGAUUCACUCUUUGCCCUUAAGAAGAUGAUUUCAAGGCCAGCAAUUACACAGUUAGGAAUAACAAGUCUCAUGAAUCAAUUUCAUUGAAACGUUUGUUUAAAUUGUCUGCCUUUAGAAAUAGAAACCAAUUAGUUGUUUGAGAAAAGUUCUGAGAAAUACAAGAAUCAUGGGGACAAGAGAGCAGAAGGAUGUGGUGACAGAUUAGUCUCUGCUUUUUCUACUCUACGUUUUACAUAGAGUAUACUUUUUGAAGUUCAUGAUACAAUAAAUCACUUAAAUGUCUUUUAUGUGUGUUUAUCCUCGGCACAAUGUUUCUGCUAGUUGGAUUGUAGUUUGCUUUUGUGAAGAAUUGAUUCUGGGGCAAGAGUCUGCUCAACCUUUGUAGUGGGUAAGUUAACUGGAGGAGAUGCAGGGUGGAGGUUACUUUUUCCCAUCAUAGCCAGGGAACCAGAAUAAAACAAACAUCUCCAAAUUGCUGUCCUUCUGGGUUAGAGUCUUACCUUUGCUUUUUCAAGGUGUAUAGAAGAAUCCUUCUUUGAUUUUCUGAGCUACGAGCAGCUCUCAAAAACAGGGAUUUAUAUUUUUGGUCUCUGCAAUGUCUUUAUUAUAGCAUAAAAAAAGUGUAAGGUUAGGAGACAUGGAAAAUGUGUUUCUCUGGGAAAUUCUGGAUAUGUAGUAAAAAGAGAACUUCUAGAUCAGGAGUUUUAAAAAUCUUCUUGAACAAAACAUAACUUAGAUAUCAGAGACAAAAUAAUGUAGUUCGAACCAGGUCCUACUUCCAUCUGUCCUUUGUAUGUGGAGCAUUGAGAAAAAUUAAGAAUUUCUCUGGAGAAAAGGAAUCAUAGAUAUGAAAUUAACAAUGAUAAAAAGGAUAUAUAGGUGCAAAAUAGACAAAAAUACUUUACAGAAAAUGCAGAAGCAGGAUCCUUACAUUCUAACUGUGGGGAGUAAGGAAGCACUCUAGAGAGGAGUUGGUAUUUCAGUAAGAUUCAGAAUAUUUUAACAGGUUGAGAAUUGGAGAAGGGGGAGUAUUUCAAGUGGAGGCAAUGCUUAAGCACAAAGGCAUGAAAGGCCUUGCUACUGAGAAUACUCACUUCCCAGAGGCAUUAAAUACAAGUAGAGUAAGUCCAGGUUUUUUUUUUUUCUCACCAUGACCUAACAGCAAAAUAUGCAAUCUGCAUCAAGUUAGUUUCUUACGUGCAAAAUCAGAUGUAGAUCGCUGUCUCAGGAUGACACCUCAAAGUCCUCAGACAUCAGAGGACAUAAGCAUUGACCAAAAUUGAACAGAGCUCUGGGAGGGAGGAAAGGCUUCAGUCAGAUUUUGUCGUAUUCUAUAAAUGGAUUUUUCAGAUUACUUGGAAUUUUGGAGUUAUCUUUUUUUUUAUUCUGAGUAUCAUUCAUAGAGCUUGAAAAUGAAAAAAAAAAAGUUUUUUAGAGCCUAUUCCCUAUGGAAAGAAGCAUCCCUUUGUGAGUAUUGGUGAUCAGGAUUAGUGGUUAGUGAUUACUACUAUGAAUUUUCAACAGCAGGCACACUGAAUUUUCAGUACUUGUUAACAUUUCACUUAAAACAGGCUAGGCAGACACCUAGACAAGAAAGAGUUGCUCUGG
rnacentral:lncRNA from 1 species